GUUAAUGUAGCUUAAUAAUAUAAAGCAAGGCACUGAAAAUGCCUAGAUGAGU
rnacentral:tRNA from 1 species